UACAGAGGGUGCGAGCGUUAAUCGGAAUUACUGGGCGUAAAGCGCGCGUAGGCGGCUUUUCAAGUCGAUUGUGAAAUCCCCGGGCUUAACCUGGGAACUGCAGUCGAGACUGUCUAGCUAGAGUAUGGGAGAGGGAAGUGGAAUUUCAGGUGUAGCGGUGAAAUGCGUAGAUAUCGGGAGGAACAUCAGUGGCGAAGGCGGCCCUCUGGUCCAGUACUGACACUCAAGUGCGAAAGCGUGGGGAGCGAACGA
rnacentral:rRNA from 1 species